rnacentral:lncRNA from 1 species
CCACAACAUACCUGACUAUUCGGUAACCUUGCCAGGUUGUUCUGCCUGUGCCAUGGCACUUGGAACUUGGCAGAGGUUUAAAGCAAAACUGGCCAUUAUACAGGAACAGAGAGAACAUUGGACUUGGAGAAGAAGACUGGGGUUCGUGUUCCAUGUCUACUACAGCCCACAUCAGAGAAAAGGUUAAACAAGAAGAAAAAAUAAGCAGAGUCAUUCCCAAAGUGUGCUACAAGGCAGAGAGGAAAUAACAGACUCUAAGAUCUGAAAUUAAGUAUGAUCAUGGCUCCGAGCCCAGAGCUCAUCAGCUGGGAAAACUGAAGAUCUGAGGACACCAAAAAGACCCUCAGAAGCAGAAGAGCCACAGGAUGAAACGGGUCCAGGUCUCCAUAGCAACCCUGGAGGAGAGGCCUGCAGGGUCGAUGCCUGGUCCUCAGCAGGCUACAGCAUCGGAUGUCUGCGAGGAUCUCACAGUAGAGACAGAAUUCCAAAUCAGGCUUAGCCACAGCUAGAGCCUGGUGCGAUAAGAUGCCUGGAUGGAGACCAAGGCUUGAGAGAGGCAAAGGAAUGAGUGGGAAUGAGUGGAGAGAAAACAAUGAGAACCAGGAAGAGGAGAUGAGUGAGAGGAGACUGUUCAACACUCACACUUCAAACCUGCGUGCUGAGACUCCCUGGCACCAGCCCGGUGGUGCUGGCCUCCUGAGUUGCUUUCUGUUUUAGGGUUGGUGUUUGCAGGAUUUGAGAAUCCAUUUAGAUAAUUCCCAUAAGAAAAAAUGCAAAUGAUUCAUAAACAUAUGAAAUAAAUGUAAUCAAAGAAAUGCAAAUACAAAACAACAAGGAAGUGUUUCUCAUCUAUCGAAUUAAUGGGGAUUACAACAGGGGUAUUCAACAGGGGUAGUGAGAUGACCCAUCUUUCGCUGUAGAAGUAAUUGGCACAAUCUUUCUCUUGGCAGUGGGGACCAAAAGUCUUAAAAUCAUACACGUUUCUUGACCCACUAAUUCCUUUGUUAGGGAUCUACCCAAAGGACGUAAGUGGAAGUUCAAGCAAGACUUGGGUAUGAAGGUCUCAUCGGGUCAUCAUUUACAUCCAGGAAAAGUACAACAAUAAAAUAUGACUUUGUGAUAAAUUAUAUAAUC